UACGGAGAGGGCAAGCAUUAAUCGGAAUUAUUGGGCGUAAAGGGCGCGUAGGCGGGUUAUUAAGUCAGAUGUGGAAUUCCAAGGCUCAACUUUGGAGCUGCAUUUGAAACUGAUAGUCUCGAGGGAUGACGGAGAAAACGGAAUUCCACGUGUAGCGGUGAAAUGCGUAGAUAUGUGGAAGAACACCUGUGGCGAAAGCGGUUUUCUAGUUGAUACCUGACGCUGAGGCGAGAGAGCAAGGGGAGCAAACAGG
rnacentral:rRNA from 1 species